rnacentral:rRNA from 1 species
GCAGUAGCCGCGGUAAUACAGAGGGUGCGAGCGUUAAUCGGAUUUACUGGGCGUAAAGCGUGCGUAGGCGGCUUCUUAAGUCGGAUGUGAAAUCCCUGAGCUUAACUUAGGAAUUGCAUUCGAUACUGGGAAGCUAGAGUAUGGGAGAGGAUGGUAGAAUUCCAGGUGUAGCGGUGAAAUGCGUAGAGAUCUGGAGGAAUACCGAUGGCGAAGGCAGCCAUCUGGCCUAAUACUGACGCUGAGGUACGAAAGCAUGGGGAGCAAACAGGAUUAGAUACCCCGGUAGUCCCUGUCUCUUAUAC